AAAGAGAUUGAAUCUACAACUCAUUGGCAUCCCUGAAAGAGAUGAGGCGAGUGUAAGCAACAUGGAAAAUAUAUUUUAGGUUAGCAUACAUGAGAACUUUCCUAACCUAGAUAGAGAGGCCAAAGUGACAGAUCACUUACAAAAAGAGGCCCAUCAGAUUAAUAGCAGACCUCUCAGCAGAAACCCUACAAACCAAAACAGAUUGGGGGCCUAUAUUAAAUCUUCUUAAAGAAAAUAAAUUUCAACUCAGAAUUUUAUAUCCGGCCAAAGGAUAAAUAAGAUCCAUUUCACAUGAACAAAUGCUGAAAAAAGUAGUUACCACCAGACCUGC
rnacentral:lncRNA from 1 species